rnacentral:lncRNA from 1 species
UGGUUAAUGAAUCCGACUAGGAACCAUGAGGUUGCAGGCUCAAUCCCUGGCCUUGGUCAGUGGGUUAAGGAUCCGGCAUUGCUGUGAGCUGUGGUGAAGGUUGCAGAUGCGGCUCGGAUCCUACGUUGCUGUGGCUCUGGCAUACACCAGUGGCUGCAGCUCUGCUUAGACCCCCAGCCUGGGAACCUCCAUAUGCCGCAGGAGCAGCCCAACAAAAGGCAAAAGACCAAAAAAAAAAAAAAAAAAGAAUUUGUCUCUGGCUUUGUCCAUUCUGUUCUAUCCAUCAAACUGACUAUCAAUUUUCCAGUAUCUAACUUUAUUACUUUAAUCCUUUUUUUGGUUAUAAUGUACAUCAUUGUUAUUUUAUACUUAACCUGUUAUUCGAAUUGAAUUUUCAAAAAUUGCCUGAACUGAGAAUCUAAUCUUUUUUUAAAGGAGAGUCAAUUGUUCCACUUUUGCAUAUUCCAUCAAAUAUAUACAAAAAUAUAUGCAUUUCUGUAUUAUGGAUUUCCUAAACUGUCCCACUGACCUACUUGUCUAUCAUGUUUCCAAUAUUUAGCAAUACUAUGUUAAACCCUUUUUGAUCACAAUAUACAUCAUCCUUUCAAUGAAGCUCUUCAAAAGUGCUAUCAUCUUUUACAACUAUCUAUGGUGAUGGAUGUUAACUAGACUUAUUAGGGUGAAUGUUUCACGAUACCUACAAAUACUGAAUCAUUAUGCUGUACAGCUGAAACUAAUGUUAUUUGUGAAUUAUACCUCGAUAAAAAAUGCUAACAUUAAAUUUAGGGGCUUUGCAUCUAGCUUUAUAAGUUAAGAGCUAUUGCCUUCUCUUCUUUUAACGUACUUCUCUGCUUUUGUAGAAUCCAUCUAUAAAAUGUUCUGGUUCUGGCUUUGUCUAUAUUUUAUAUUUUGUUUAUGCUUCUGGUCUAUUCUAUUUUUAAAUUCUUGAUGAAAUCUUAUCUAUAUUUUUUUCUGGAAUAGACAGUCAUUCCAAUUUAAGAAAUUACUUUGGAUAAAAAAUGUUCUCUUGCUUUAAAAGAAUUACUGUAUUUAUACUUUUGCUCUCUUUAUCAUUUUAAUGUUUUUUUAUUCAUGAUCAGGUUACAAAAGUGUUGUUUAUUGAUAUUUUCAGAGAGGCAAUAUUUGACUUUAAAUAUAUAUUCUUCUAUGCUUUUAAUUAACUAAAAUCUGUUUUUAUCUUUAGCUCCUCAUAUUUUCUUUGGGUGUUUUUUUCUUCGUUUAGUCUCUACUUUAUGUUGAAUAUUUGCUUUAUUUAUUUUUAACUUUUACUUUAUUAAAUACUUUUAGGUCUAGAUUUACAUUAUUAUUUUUAUUGUUAUUUGUGUGUUUUUUAAUUUCAAAAUGGGUAGGUUUUCCUGUCUUAGUUUCUUUCUUUUUUCCAUCCUUCAAGAGUUUUCGUUUGUUUUAUUGCUUUUUUUGGUCUAUUUCAUACACAUUUUUUGUCUACUUAUAUCUCUCAAGUUUUUUAAAGUCCUCCAAAUUAAGAUACUCUCUUGUUGCUGGACUAGUCCCAGAGCAUACAUCCCAAAGUACCUGUGGAUUGCACUUUUCAUGGCUCUCCAUAACCUCUGGAAUCAGCUCAGAAUUCCAGAGGGAGAGAGCUAGGAAGACAAUACCCAAAGGUCCCUAAUGCAAUGCCUGUUGCAUCAUAUCUUUAAUUCCCCAGCGAGAGCCAAAUCACCAGUUCUCUUGGCAAGUCAGACCCUCUCUCUGGAGGUAACUAUGUAAUUAAUGAGCAAAACAGUUUCUCCAUAUAUGACAUUAUUUAUAAGAUUUCCUUGAUGUGAUGAAGGAAAUUGGGAAUUCCCUGGGGAAAGUCUGUGUAUACAUUCUGAGUACUCAUUUACUUCCACAAGAUACAAAUGUCUAAACUGUUAAACAACCAAGCAAUUUUGACAAGAGUGCCUCCUUUUUAAAAGAGGAAAGUCUGACUUGUAAAGAGGCUGAAAAUGUCAUGGCUUCACAGAAAUGUUUCCAAACUAAAUUAAAGUUUAUUAGGGUUCAUAGCGUGUUUUCUUAUGCACUCAAUAACUUCAUACUAGCACCAAUUCUGUGACAGAAGCAAAACAUAUUUGACUUAUCAUCACCACACUGAUAGAUACCAUUGAGCACAAGGGAUCAGACAUGACUCAUCCAGAGUUCUACAACUAGCACGUGAUGACGUCAGUACUGGAAUACACAUCUUGUGACAGCACAUGUCAAUUUUGUUUCACUUUAUCAUAGCCGUCUCCUACAACCUAAACAUGCAAGUUCCAUGGGAAAAUUCUCCUUGGAUUCCAGUUAAUGUAGAUGAUGAAAUGUGGGAAAUGAGAAAUUCCUCACAUGUAGUUGUUGAAUAGAUAUUGGUUGGUUUUAGUAAAAAUGUGCCUGAUCUCUUCCAGCUGCCCCUUCACCCUCUCUCCAUACCCUGCACACCAGGAGGCUAACAGCUCUCAGCAUCAUGGCUCUCUUGCCCUCUGAGAUCUGAUAGGGUUGACCAGUGGGAGCACCAGCAGGAGGCCCGAGGAAGAGGAGAGUGAGAUUUGGGCAUUUAUUUCCAUUUCCUCCCUGCAGGUUGAUUUGGGCCGGCCAUGUAAUUUAACGGAAGAGCUCAGCUCUUGUGAGAGUCUUCUUUACCCUCUUCUUUUCUCCCCUAUUCCAGGAGCUAUGUCCCCCUCUUGCCUUCUCAGGCCUGGGAUGGGAGUGGUUCCCUAGUGUUCCUUACCCCCAAGUACUGCUCCAUCCCUUUUGGUUUCUCUAUACCAUCCUCACACCUUUGUAAAAGUAUCUUUUGUAUGAUCCUCCAUUUAACUGAUUUGAAUGUGCCAGCUCUUUCUUGCAAGGACCCUGACUGAUAAAGGAAACAAAUUACUCCUAAAGUUUAUAGCUUAAGUGAAAAAAGAUGGGGUAAAGGGACAAGUUUCCUAGCCAAGCCAAAAGCUAUUCAUAUACUAACAUCUGAUUACUAUGGUUUUGGAAAGGAGUUGGCUCUUUUACUAUAGUCUUCAUUGGGGAUUACACAUUUUCUGGACCCAAAUCAUAAUCAGAUCCAAAAGAUCUCUAAUACUUUAUAUAUAGUCAAUAAAAUUUAACAGU